AAGUCUCUCAUAUUUGAAAUUGAGUUCUCCAAUUUCCACACUUCCAUGGGCAAGUUUCAUGGACUUUUUGAUUGGCUUCCGAACAUCCAAAGAGACCCUGACCCUCAUGUAAUUUCGACAUUCCAAAAAAAAUUGCGCGGAUUAGAUUCAAUAAAAGUCCCAAUAUGAUUACCAAUUACUUUUCCCAAUCUCUCAUCAUGAAACCAUUUGGGACAUCAUACACUCGCACCCACAUGUCCACAGUAUUCAAUUGAACGUUUGUAGCCUUCUCCCCCUUCUUCAACUCCUUCAUAAUCAACAGAUGUUGAGAGAACGUCCAAGGACCUCCCUUCAACACAUUUUCAAAAUUGAGCUCAUGAAAUAAUUGAAAAAUGAAAAGAUUAUUCCCAAGUUUCUUCACACUCAAUCCUUUCACGGGACUCCAAAGUGAUGCCAUUUGAUUUUUCAUAGCAAAAAAAUUGAUAGGCUUG
rnacentral:misc_RNA from 1 species